AACCGGAUUAGAUACCCUGGUAGUCCACGCCCUAAACGAUGUCUACUAGUUGUCGGGACUUAAUUGUCUUGGUAACGCAGCUAACGCGUGAAGUAGACCGCCUGGGGAGUACGGUCGCAAGAUUAAAACUCAAAGGAAUUGACGGGGACCCGCACAAGCGGUGGAUGAUGUGGAUUAAUUCGAUGCAACGCGAAAAACCUUACCUACCCUUGACAUGGCAGGAAUCCCGAAGAGAUUUGGGAGUGCUCGCAAGAGAACCUGCACACAGGUGCUGCAUGGCUGUCGUCAGCUCGUGUCGUGAGAUGUUGGGUUAAGUCCCGCAACGAGCGCAACCCUUGUCAUUAGUUGCUACGAAAGGGCACUCUAAUGAGACUGCCGGUGACAAACCGGAGGAAGGUGGGGAUGACGUCAAGUCCUCAUGGCCCUUAUGGGUAGGGCUUCACACGUCAUACAAUGGUACAUACAGAGGGCCGCCAACCCGCGAGGGGGAGCUAAUCCCAGAAAGUGUAUCGUAGUCCGGAUUGUAGUCUGCAACUCGACUACGUGAAGUUGGAAUCGCUAGUAAUCGCGGAUCAGCAUGUCGCGGUGAAUACGUUCCCGGGUCUUGUACACACCGCCCGUCACACCAUGGGAGCGGGUUCUGCCAGAAGUAGGUAGCUUAACCGCAAGGAGGGCGCUUACCACGGCAGGGUUCGUGACUGGGGUGAAGUCGUAACAAGGUAGCCGUA
rnacentral:rRNA from 1 species